CCUGUGAUCCCAAGUGCUCAGGAGACUGAGCUCUGAAAGAUACAGACCAUGAUUGAUUGAGUCUAUUGUGUUGGGCCACUGUGGUUGAGCAAAGCCUUUCACAUCAUGGCUGAGAAGGCUCCCGCUUCUGCCUCUGUGAAGAUCAUCUGACUCUUGCCACCAGACCACAGUGCUUGCAGAAGAGCAAACAUCAGAUUGAGUCUCCUUUAUUCAUGCUUUGAGUUGAGGCUUCUAACUACAACAUAAAUCAUGAUUUACAACAUGAUUAGCACUGACUCAGUGUAAGCAAAAUCCUCACCACCAGGAAGCCUCAUAUCCUAGGACAGUUAUCUGGCUACCACACAGAUGACCCUAGAAGAAGACCUCCAAGUAAUUUGCAAAAUGUACCCCAGCAAGAAGGAAAUCUUUUGCUUCAAAGUGGAGUAUCUGCUUAGUCUUCAUAAUUGAUGACUUUAUGAUCCACUCUAUAAACCUGGCAUAAUUAUGUGGAGAGGAAAUAUGAAGCCAAAGGAUGUAGUGCCUCUCUGCAUUUCCGCUUGCCAGCUUGGAAGAGAAGAAGAAAGAGACUAAUUAUGCAGCCUGGCGAUGCUGCUGCAUUCCAGCAGUUUCGAUUGACAAAACAGCAUCCAUCAUCCUUUGCAUGACAAAUUUUCUUUGCCUCCCUCCCCAACUCCAGCUCAUGAUAACAUAAUUACAUUCCAUUUUUUCCUAGCAAGGGGCCUGUAUUUUCUUUUAGGCAGGACAACAGCUGCAAAUUUCAACCUUGAUAUUGCCUUAAAAUGGUAAAAUGGUGGCUUUUGUUCUAGUCUUGGCAAUUGGCUCUUAAACACUCCUGCCAGGAGGCCACUCCUGCCUGGCAAAUUUUCCCACUGGAAAAAAAAUGCAUUUAUCUCUGAGACUUUCAUGAAGUGGUGCAAAGGAGCUCCGCGGCACUUAGUGCUUGUCCGUACUGUAAUUUAUCCUUGGGCCACAUUGUUUUGGAACUGUGUUGAGAAGAUGAACGCUGCUCUCAUGCUUUUUAUAGCCUGGUAAUUGCUAAAGGAGCAUUGUCUUUGUGUCAAGCCAAUCUGAACAUUUUUAUUCUUCUCUCUAUUUAUGUCUACUCAUGCAUCCUAGCAUCAAUGUUUUCUGAGAGUUGGGGACAUCAGGCCAAAAUCUUGUCAAUAAAAUCUCCAUGCUUUAUGGCAAAAACUCUCAGAUCCUG
rnacentral:lncRNA from 1 species